GCAAAGUCAUCACGGCUCAUCACGGCCGCAAAAUCAUCACGGAUCAUCAGGGCCGCAAACUCAUCACGGCUAAGGGCCGCAAACUCAACACCAUCAGGGCUGCAAACUCAUCACAGCUAAGGGCCGCAAACUCAUCACAGCUAAGGGCUGCAAACUCAACACCAUUAGGGCCUCAAAUUCAUCACAGCCAAACGCUGCAAACUCAUCACAGCUAAGGGCUGCAAACUCAUCACAGCUCAUCAGGGCCUCAAACUCAUCACAGCUAAGGGCAGCAAACUCAACACCAUUAGGGCUGCAAACUCAUCAUGGCUCAUCAGGGCGGCAAACUCGUCACAGCUAAGGGCUGUAAACUCAAGAAAAAAGACUACCCCAAGAAAUAGACUACCCCAAGAAAAAUGCAGUGACAGUGACCAGCAAAAAUCAAAGAGAUCUGGUCACGGAAUGACUGCAAUGGAAUCGGAUGUCAUAAGGGAUUUGGGAUUUAGUAAAACAGACCCAGAGUCAAUGUCGGCGUCCACUCCUCUGCUUCAAACAGGGCCGGCCUGAGCCAUAAGCCAACUAUUUGGUGGCUUAGGGCCCCCAAGGGGUCCCCCCAUGAGCGGCGAUGUUAAUUGUAUUUAUUGGGUAUGGGGGGCACCGGAUGAUUUUUUUAUGGGGGCCCCAAAAAGGCUAGCGAACUAUUCGGUGGCCUUGGGCCCCCGAGGGCC